UUACCGUAGGUGAACCUGCGGUAGGAUCAUUUCCACAAAAAAAUCAUACCAACCCACGUGUGAUCUCAUACUGUUAUUUACUCUUCAUAUGCUGCGCCGUCGUGUGCGCAUAUGGAGAGGCCUUGUUGAACUACCUUGUGAAAAGGUUGAUUGCUCUCGUUUUUGCAUCUACACAAAAAUGAUGUGACAACUUUUAACGGUGGAUCUCUUGGCUCGU
rnacentral:misc_RNA from 1 species